UCUCGGUUCGGUUCUACGACAUAUGUAUACACAUUUUUUUCGGUUCGGUUCCUGGAGACAUAUUCUCGGUUCGGUUCCGGUCCUUGUUUUUAAAACAUCCUUGGAACCGAAAUACAUAUGUCAGUGUAUAAGUGGACAUUAGUGGUGAGCUUAUUUCUGUAAAAUAGACCCUUUCUCAUGUGAUCAGGCACACACUUAGCCUUCCAAAUGCGAUCAGAGCCUUCCAUCUUAUCUCAUAAUAUCCUAUCCAUUCGAUCAAAACCCUAAAAUGUUAUCUCUUCGACUCUUCCCUCAAACUCUCACUCUCUCAGUCUCCAUCCUAGAAACACAAACGGCGCUCGUCCUCGUCUCGUCUGUUGCUCGUCCUCGUCCUCGUCUCGAUUGUAAUAGAAGAUCAAAACCCAGACGACCUCCCUCAAAGUCUCACUCUCUCAGUCUCCUUCGAUUUGUCGAACACAGCUGAGUGUAGUUCAGCGAACACAGCUGCAACCAGCAACCCGUCUCCGCCAGUCCGCCCCUCCGGUCUCCGAGCUCCGCCUUUAGGCUCCAGUGUUUCUAUAUGGAAAAACCGAGGAACCGAGUUUGGAACCGAUCCGAUUUUGGAACCGAAAAACCGAGAAACCGAGAAUGGAACCGAACUGAGAUUGGAACCGAAAAACUGAGGAACCGACCCGAGCAUGGUCGGUUCGGUUCUACAUCGGUUCUUGAUACAAAAAACAGCAAACCCGAACCGAAAAUCAGUUGUCGGUUCCGGUUCCGGGUUCAGUCCUUGAAAUUGCAGAACCGACCCGAGUCCAG